CUUGAACGCUGGCGGCAGGCCUAACACAUGCAAGUCGAACGAGUGGCGGACGGGUGAGUAAUGUCGGGACAACUGCCUGAUCGAGGGGGAUAACUACUGGAAAAGGUGGAUAAUCCCGCAUACCAUCGGAUGUGGCCAGGUGGGAUUAGCUAGUAGGUGGGGGAACGGCUCACCUAGGCGAAGAUCCCGAGCUGGGCGGAGAGGAUGACCAGCCACACUGGAACUGAGACACGGUCCAGACGCCUACGGGAGGCAGCAGUGGGGAAUAUUGCGCAAUGGACGCAAGCCGGAGGCAGCAAUGCCGCGUGUAUGAAGAAGGCCUUCGGGUUGUAAAGUACGGUCAGCGGGGAGGCGUUACCCGCAGAAGAAGCACCGGCUAACUCCGUGCCAGCCGCCGCGGUAAUAC
rnacentral:rRNA from 1 species